rnacentral:rRNA from 1 species
GAUGAACGCUGGCGGCGUGCCUAAUACAUGCAAGUCGAGCGAACAGGCGCGGCGUUUGCUCCUCUGUCGUUAGCCGAGCACGGGUGUAUCACGUGUGGAUCACCUACCUAUCUGUCUGGGAUAAUUUCGGAACUGCGGAGAUAAUACCAGAUAACCUCUUGCACCGCGUGGGUGGAUAGUGAAUGACGGUUUUGCUGUCACUUCUAGAUGGAUCCGCGUCGUAUUAGCUAGUUGGUAAGGUAACGGGCUACGACGGCGACGAUGCGUAGCCGACGUGAGAGGGGGGUCGGCCACACUGGAGCGGAGACAGGGUCCAGGGGCCUACGGGAGGCAGCAGUAGGGAAUGGGCCGCAAUGGGCGAAAGCCUGGCGGAGUGACGGGGCGUGAGAUAAGAAGGUCUUCGGAUCGUAAAACUCUGUUAUGAGGGAAGAACAAAUUUGGAAGGUACCAAGCAGGGCGUGACGGUACCGAAUCAGAAAGCCACGGCUAACUACGUG